GACAGAGGUGCCGAGCGUUAGGCGGAAUCACUGGGCUUAAAGCGUGUGUAGGCGGGCCGUUAAGUGUCUUGUGAAAUCCCCCGGCCCAACCGGGGAAUUGCUGGGCAUACUGGCGGUCUUGAGCAAUCUAGGGGCAGAUGGAACAAGUGGUGGAGCGGUGAAAUGCGUAGAUAUCACUUGGAACGCCAACGGUGAAGACAGUCUGCUGGGGAUUUGCUGACGCUGAGACACGAAAGCCAGGGGAGCGAACGGG
rnacentral:rRNA from 1 species